rnacentral:rRNA from 1 species
AGAGUUUGAUCAUGGCUCAGAUUGAACGCNGGCGGUAUGCUUAACACAUGCAAGUCGAACGGAAACGAUACUAGCUUGCUNGUAGGCGUCGAGUGGCGGACGGGUGAGUAACGCGUAGGAAUCUACCUAAUAGUGGGGGAUAGCCCGGAGAAAUCCGGAUUAAUACCGCAUAAUCUCUAUGGAGUAAAGGGGCCCUCUUCUUGAAAGGUUUCGCUAUCAGAUGAGCCUGCGUAAGAUNAGCUAGUUGGUGAGGUAAAAGCUCACCAAGGCGACGAUCUUUAGCUGGUCUGAGAGGAUGAUCAGCCACACUGGGACUGAGACACGGCCCAGACUCCUACGGGAGGCAGCAGUGGGGAAUAUUGGACAAUGGGGGCAACCCUGAUCCAGCAAUACCGCGUGUGUGAAGAAGGCCUGAGGGUUGUAAAGCACUUUCAAUUGUGAAGAAAAG